rnacentral:rRNA from 1 species
AGAUUGAACGCUGGCGGCAUGCCUUACACAUGCAAGUCGAACGGCAGCGCGGGGCAACCUGGCGGCGAGUGGCGAACGGGUGAGUAAUAUAUCGGAACGUACCCUGGAGUGGGGGAUAACGUAGCGAAAGUUACGCUAAUACCGCAUACGAUCUAAGGAUGAAAGUGGGGGAUUCGCAAGAACCUCAUGCUCCUGGAGCGGCCGAUAUCUGAUUAGCUAGUUGGUAGGGGUAAAGCCUACCAAGGCAUCGAUCAGUAGCUGGUCUGGAGAGGACGACCACGACCACACGUGAACUGAAGCAACGGUCCAGACUCCGUACGGGAGCAGC